rnacentral:rRNA from 1 species
AACGAACGCUGGCGGCAUGCCUAACACAUGCAAGUCGAACGAGCCCUUCGGGCCUAGUGGCGCAAGGGUGCGUAACGCGUGGUAACCUGCCCUUAGGUUCGGAAUAACUACCCGAAAGGGGUCCUAAUACCGGAUAAUGUCUUCGGACCAAAGAUUUAUCGCCUUUGGAUGGGCCCGCGUUGUAUUAGCUAGUUGGUAGGGUAAAAGCCUACCAAGGCAACGAUCCAUAGCUGGUCUGAGAGGAUGAUCAGCCACACUGGGACCGAGACACGGCCCGGACUCCUACGGGAGGCAGCAGGGGUGAAUAUUCGACAAUGGGCGAAAGCCGGAUCCAGCAAGGCCGCGUGAGUGAUGAAGGCCUUAGGGUUGUAAAGCUCUUUUACCCGGGAUGAUAAUGACAGUACCGGGAGAAUAAGCUCCGGCUAACUCCGUG